UACGGAGGGCGCGAGCGUUGUUCGGAAUCAUUGGGCAUAAAGCGCGUGUAGGCGGCUUGGUAAGUCGAGUGUGAAAGCCCGGGGCUCAACCCCGGAAGGUCGCUCGAAACUGCCUGGCUAGAGUCCCGGAGAGGAAGGCGGAAUUCCCGGUGUAGAGGUGAAAUUCGUAGAUAUCGGGAGGAACACCAGCCGCGAAGGCGGCCUUCUGGACGGUGACUGACGCUGAGACGCGAAAGCGUGGGGAGCAAACAGG
rnacentral:rRNA from 1 species